GUUCAAGAUGGCGAACCGAUUAAGCGGAAGUGACAUUUUUGUCUCCCUCUGUCUCUACAAAGAUGGAACCUUCUGUGCCCACCAGGACCCUGGCAGGUUGGCUGGUGCAGCAGGGAAUCUGGGCAUUUCCAGGAUCGGCAUUCCCUCAUGGAAGCGUGAACAAUGAUCUGGAUCCCUGAGGCGCCACAGGCCUCCCCCAAUUGAGCAGGAACAUACCAGUGCCAGAAUGGACCCCCACUUGCAGACCCUGAGGAGCUGAGUAAAUUACUGCCUGUUUGUGCCUGCCUAAUUUCAACAGCCCUGUGAACAAUAGGGUAAGUGAUAGGACAACCCUGAAAUAAGGGACGAACCCUCUCAGCUCAGGAAACUCCUUGUCAAACCUAUUGAUUUAGGCCAUUGGCCAAUACCAAAAACUUGAAUCAACUCCUCACUCAUAAAGUGCUCUUCUGCAACCCACCUAUGAGACUCUGCCGGGUACACCUUCACUCCAUUCACCCUCCCUGAUUGGCUUCCCAAGACACCACUCCAGACCCGACCAAACAUUCUCGCUGAACUGGUGCUUUUAAUGCAAAGUUUAAAACCCUUCUAAAGAAAGGAAAGGAGGUUAAAUUGGUAACUUGAUGGUUCCCUCAGGCCAUCGUCUGAGAAAUCGCAUACAGCGCUAGAAACUUGGGAUUUCACUCAUUCUCUGUUCAAAACCCUUCUUCAUUGACCUUUGUGUGCAUGCAUGCAUGUGUGUGCCUGUGUGUUUAUCAUGUACUAUGGCUGACCCUGCGCUCUGACCCCAGCUUCCUAUCAAGCUGGGAUAUGCGAAAACUGCAUUUCAUUGGCUCUGUACUCUUACUCUGCACAAUGACAAUAAAGUUGAAUCUAAUCUAAUCUAAUCUAAUCUUAUGUGUUAAAUUUGUUUCUGUGCAUUAGAAUAGUCUAAUAAAGUCUUGCCUAAUUUUAAAGGCAAGUGUCUUGUGUUACAUGCUUACAAGUUAAUGUCUUAAAACUGACAAUCUUGUUACUGUGCUGUUAAUAUAGUGUUUUCACUAUAUUUAGGAUAUUAUUGCUGGUGGCCAUGAAGGUAAUAUCCCAUGCAUAAUUAAUAAAUACACUAAUUUCAACUUAUCGCUAGAUGAAUAGUUUGUUGCAAUAUUAAGAAAAAUAUGGCAAAAUUUCCCCCAUUUGGGCUGAUCUGCUCGUUUCCACUACAUAUUUUGGUGGAAUAUGCAGGCAGUUCAAUCUUAAUUGUAAAACCCUACAAUUUUUGAUGGAGGAUACAGGCAGUUCAAUCUAAAUUGUAAACCCUACAAACUGCUAUUCAUAUUUGAAUGAAAAUUUUAAUGAAUUUCAAAAGUAGAACUUAGAAUUCAAGAUGAAGGAGAAAGCUGGUACACUGAAGGGCACAAGGACUCCAAAACUGAUCAGAAAAUACAGUAGCACUUCAGGAGGUAGAUGUAUUUCCAAUGUUCAGCUAACUAAAAGACAGAAAAGAGAUAAAGUUGACAUUUAAAUAACACAAAGCAACCACAGUAUGCACAAUAAAUACACUUAGAUACCAACAAAAAUAAUGGAAGUUUAUUUCUACGUCAUUUCAUAGACAAACACCACAAAACACUA